rnacentral:rRNA from 1 species
UACGUAGGGGGCAAGCGUUGUCCGGAUUUAUUGGGCGUAAAGAGCGUGUAGGCGGUUCGGUAGGUCCGUUGUGAAAACUCGAGCUCAACCUCGAGACGCCGAUGGAAACCCUCGAACUAGAGUCCGGAAGAGGAGAAUGGAAUUCCUGGUGUAGCGGUGAAAUGCGCAGAUAUCAGGAAGAACACCCGUGGCUAAGGCGGUUCUCUAGUACGGUACUGACGCUGAGGAGCGAAAGCGUGGGGAGCGAACAGG